AGGGGCCUAAAGGAGAGGGAAGGGGCCAAGAAGUGGAGACCUCCAACAUCCUGGUACUUCGUUCUAACUCCACCCAGAAUGGACAGGCCUACACCUGCUACGCCAAACACCCCCUGGACACACGCACCAGGACCUGCAGCCUUAGACUGGAGGCUCCAGUCUUGUUGACCCAGCGUAGUGUGGUGUCUGUGUUCGAGGGCAGUGAUGUCCAGCUCACCUGUAUCCUGCAAGCUAACUAUCCCCCGGUCAAUCAGAUCAUCUGGUUCAACAACCGCAGACAGGAAGUCAUACAGGAAGUCCAGGAAGCCCUGGCCACAACCAGGAAGUAUGUGCUGCGUCGCGCAGCUGCAUGGACCAACCUGACGGUC